UACGAAGGGGGCUAGCGUUGCUCGGAAUUACUGGGCGUAAAGGGCGCGUCGGCGGAUACUUAAGUUAGAGGUGAAAGCCCAGGGCUCAACCCUGGAACAGCCUUUAAUACUGGGUAUCUUGAGUUCGGGAGAGGUGAGUGGAACUCCGAGUGUAGAGGUGAAAUUCGUAGAUAUUCGGAAGAACACCAGUGGCGAAGGCGACUCACUGGCCCGAUACUGACGCUGAGGCGCGAAAGCGUGGGGAGCAAACAGG
rnacentral:rRNA from 1 species